rnacentral:rRNA from 1 species
GAAACGACUGCUAAGACUGGAUAGGAAACAGAAAGGCAUCUUUUUGUUUUUAAAAGACCUUUUUCGAAGGUAUGCUUAAAGAUGGGCUUGCGCCACAUUAGUUAGUUGGUAGGGUAAUGGCCUACCAAGACGAUGAUGUGUAGCUGGACUGAGAGGUCGAACAGCCACAUUGGGACUGAGACACGGCCCAAACUCCUACGGGAGGCAGCAGUAGGGAAUUUUCGGCAAUGGAGGAAACUCUGACCGAGCAACGCCGCGUGAACGAUGAAGUAUUUCGGUAUGUAAAGUUCUUUUAUUGAAGAAGAAAAAAUAGUGGAAAAACUAUCUUGACGUUAUUCAAUGAAUAAGCCCCGGCUAACUAUGUGCCAGCAGCCGCGGUAAUACAUAGGGGGCGAGCGUUAUCCGGAAUUAUUGGGCGUAAAGGGUGCAUAGGCGGUUAGGAAAGUCUAUAAUUUAAUUUCAGUGCUUAACGCUGUCUUGUUAUAGAAACUACCUUGACUAGAGUUAGAUAGAGGCAAGCGGAAUUCCAUGUGUAGCGGUAAAAUGUGUAAAUAUAUGGAGGAACACCAGAAGCGUAGGCGGCUUGCUGGGUCUUGACUGACGCUGAGGCACGAAAGCGUGGGUAGCAAACAGGAUUAGAUACCCUGGUAGUCCACGCCGUAAACGAUGAGUACUAAGUGUCGGGGUAAAACUCGGUACUGAAGUUAACACAUUAAGUACUCCGCCUGAGUAGUACGUACGCAAGUAUGAAACUUAAAGGAAUUGACGGGACUCCGCACAAGCGGUGGAUCAUGUUGUUUAAUUCGAAGAUACACGAAAAAUCUUACCAGGUCUUGACAUGCUUUGCAAAGCUAUAGAAAUAUAGUGGAGGUUAUCAGGGACACAGGUGGUGCAUGGUUGUCGUCAGUUCGUGUCGUGAGAUGUUAGGUUAAGUCCUAAAACGAGCGCAACCCUUGUCGUUAAUUGCCAGCACGUAAUGGUGGGGACUUUAGCGAGACUGCCAAUUAAAAAUUGGAGGAAGGUGAGGAUUACGUCAAAUCAUCAUGCCCCUUAUGAUCUGGGCUACAAACGUGAUACAAUGGCUGUUACAAAGAGUAGCUGGAGCGCGAGUUUUUGGCGAAUCUCAAAAAAGCAGUCUCAGUUCGGAUUGAAGUCUGUAACUCGACUUCAUGAAGUUGGAAUCGCUAGUAAUCGCGAAUCAGCAUGUCGCGGUGAAUACGUUCUCGGGGUUUGUACACACCGCCCGUCA